rnacentral:rRNA from 1 species
GACGAACGCUGGCGGCGUGCUUAACACAUGCAAGUCGAACGGAAAGGCCCUGCUUUUGUGGGGUGCUCGAGUGGCGAACGGGUGAGUAACACGUGAGUAACCUGCCCUUGACUUUGGGAUAACUUCAGGAAACUGGGGCUAAUACCGGAUAGGAGCUCCUGCUGCAUGGUGGUGGUUGGAAAGUUUCGGCGGUUGGGGAUGGACUCGCGGCUUAUCAGCUUGUUGGUGGGGUAGUGGCUUACCAAGGCUUUGACGGGUAGCCGGCCUGAGAGGGUGACCGGCCACAUUGGGACUGAGAUACGGCCCAGACUCCUACGGGAGGCAGCAGUGGGGAAUAUUGCACAAUGGGCGGAAGCCUGAUGCAGCAACGCCGCGUGCGGGAUGACGGCCUUCGGGUUGUAAACCGCUUUCGCAUGUGACGAAGCGGGAGUGACGGUAAUGGGUAAAGAAGCACCGGCUAACUACGUG